rnacentral:rRNA from 1 species
ACCCUGUGAACAUACCUAAACGUUGCUUCGGCGGGAAUAGACGGCCCCGUAAAACGGGCCGCCCCCGCCAGAGGACCCCUAACUCUGUUUCUAUAAUGUUUCUUCUGAGUAAAACAAGCAAAUAAAUUAAAACUUUCAACAACGGAUCUCUUGGCUCUGGCAUCGAUGAAGAACGCAGCGAAAUGCGAUAAGUAAUGUGAAUUGCAGAAUUCAGUGAAUCAUCGAAUCUUUGAACGCACAUUGCGCCCGCCAGUAUUCUGGCGGGCAUGCCUGUUCGAGCGUCAUUACAACCCUCAGGCCCCCGGGCCUGGCGUUGGGGAUCGGCGGAGCCCCCCGUGGGCACACGCCGUCCCCCAAAUACAGUGGCGGUCCCGCCGCAGCUUCCAUCGCGUAGUAGCUAACACCUCGCGACUGGAGAGCGGCGCGGCCACGCCGUAAAACACCCAACUCUUCUGAAGUUGACCUCGAAUCAGGUAGGA